rnacentral:rRNA from 1 species
GAUGAACGCUGGCGGCGUGCCUAAUACAUGCAAGUCGAGCGAACAGACGAGGAGCUUGCUCCUCUGACGUUAGCGGCGGACGGGUGAGUAACACGUGGAUAACCUACCUAUAAGACUGGGAUAACUUCGGGAAACCGGAGCUAAUCCCGGAUAAUAUAUUGAACCGCAUGGUUCAAUAGUGAGAGACGGUUUUGCUGUCACUUAUAGAUGGAUCCGCGCCGCAUUAGCUAGUUGGUAAGGUAACGGCUUACCAAGGCGACGUUGCGUAGCCGACCUGAGAGGGUGAGCGGCCACACUGGAAGUGAGACACGGUCCAGACUGCUACGGGAGGCAGCAGUAGGGAAUCGUCCGCAAUGGGCGAAAGCCUGACGGAGCAACGCCGAGUGAGUGAUGAAGGUCUUCGGAUCGGAAAACUCUGUUAUUAGGGAAGAACAAAUGUGUAAGUAACUAUGCACGUCUUGACGGUACCUAAUCAGAAAGCCACGGCUAACUACGUGC